AAUGGCCUAAAAGGCUAAUGCCACGGUAGUGAUUUUGGAAUUUUUAAAUGCGCUUAAAUUUAGAUAAUCCGCCCCUCUAAUAAGAAUUUUGUGAGUCACUAGUUGGAGCCCUUGGAGGACCUCUUUCAUACAUACCCACUCUCUCUCUUUCACACACACUCUAUCUUUCCUCAAUUGAGCGAGCUUUCCGAUGAAGCGGCGUACUCUGGGCUUUCUUCCUUCCAUUGAAGCUGGGUUGAGGUACUUAUUAUUAUUAAUCAUCAAAUAUCAAUUUGACAAUCUAGGGUUUAACUAUCUUUGAUUUAAUUGUCAAUGUAAGCAAUCUAGGGUUCUUUGGUGGAUUUGAAUUUCUAUUAAUUUGUUAUUUACUCACUAUUUAUAUCACCUGUUACUCCAAUGGUCGUGGAUCUUGUGUCCGACCGCCAUCAGUAGACAUUCGUCGCAAUGGUACACCUCUCAAUCUCUCUCUUUUCAAUCAUCGAUUAUAAUUUAGUUUCGAUUAAUUUAUUGUGUAUGAAUCUGAUUUAUUCGACAUAAGUUUGGAUUGAUUUGUUUGAUUUUUUGUUGCUUGAAAUGUUAGUUAUUGUGAAAUUUGCAUUUUAAAAACUCCAAACCACUACUAUUUUUUGCGCUUUUUGUUUAUUUGAUCUGAUGAGAUGUCAAUUUUUUCAUUUUAAUGCUGAUUAUUAGCUUAGUUUGUUGGCUUUUGAGGUUGAAAUCAAUUGUUAUCUAGGGUUUAUGAAACAUUUUUUUAAUCUAUAAGUUUUGCUGGCUUUUGAGGUUCGUAUUAAUUGUUAUCUAGGGUUUAUGAAACAUUUGUUUACAAUCUGUAAUCUUUUGUAGUGAUUUUAGUUCAAUAUAUUGGUAUUGUUGCUGGCACACUCAAAGUUAUCUAAAUUUAGGCAUUGAAAGAUAACUUAAGCAUAUAAAAUAAAAUUGAGAAUUUGCUUCAUUUACUAGUAUAAACAAUGACUGAAUUGAAUGGUUAAAAUAUAUAUAUUUAGACUAUUAAUCUUUCAUACGGAGUGCAUACUUCAUGAAAUGGAAGUUGGAAUGAUACGGCCAAGUAGAUAUACAGAUUCCACUGUUAGCGUAUAUACAUACCUCUCUUAUUGUUGCUUCAUCGUUGCUAUUGAUAAAGACAAUCAAGCUAUCUGUAACAUAUUGUAGGUGGUUAUUGCAGUUAUUUCAUUUAGUGCAGCUUUUGGAUUCUUGGUAUAUGGUGGAAGGUAUUAAUCGAUUUUGGACCGUUUGAAUGUGGUGAAUUUUCAAUCUAUUUUGAAAACUGACUUGUUUAUUUUCGUCCCAUUAAUAUAUGUACUGGUUGAUAAUCAAUUUACAAUUGUUGAAGCGAUUUCCUAUAGUUACUAUAGGUCGUCAAAGAAGAUCUGUGAAGUAAUAUUUUGAACCCACAGGGUUAGUCAGAAACCAACUGUGUGAAAAUCGACUUCCAUUUGAACUGGACAGUUUAUGAUGUCAUGAAACAAAAGCUUCCUCUUUCCCCCAGACAGAAAGAACGUUCUCAGCUCUGACCUUCAUUUUCAGGCCCAGAGAACCAAGAAGGUUGGUAUUGUCGGGAAAUACAGUGAGUAUUUUCAAUUCUAUUUGAAUGUAAUCUUAUUGUAUUUCAAUUUUGUUACAUCGCAUGAAGUAAUUCUUAGAUUAUGAAUAGAAGGAAUGACAUGAUUUUGAAUGGAAAAGACACUUACCACCCUGUGAUUAUUAAGCGAGUUUUCAGACUUGCUGCUGAUUGUGGCCUCUAUGCACGAAAGAUUUAUGGUGGUGCCAAGACAACUACAUGUAGAAGCUCAAAGAAAUGGGUUCCCCCACCCGAUAAAACGAUUAAACUCAACUGUGAUGCCUCACUGAAUCUUGAGGGGCGGGUGUGGCUUGGUGUUGUUGCAAGAGACUGGCAGGGGGAGGUGUUGUCCGCUUCUUCCAGGCGCACCAGCCCCAUGUUGUGGCAGAAAGCAAAGCUGCUGCUAUGGCAGUCAGAAUAGCCAAACGCUUUGGCUUGAAUGAUGUUAUUCUAGAAGCAGACUGUCAAGUCCUUAUCUCCAGAUUAUCACAGGCCUCGGUUUACCUCACUGAUCUUGAUACUAUUUUAAAUAAUAUAGUCUUCUUGUGCUGAUUUUAAUUCUUUUUUGUGGUGCCAUGUUAAGAGAGAUGGGAAUACUAUUGCCCAUAACUUAGCUCGUGUUUUGCCUUACGAUUUUGAACAAGUUAAGGAAAACCUUUGUCCUUGUGAAGUUUUUCCUUAUGUUUUGAUGGAUAAGUUAUCUCCUUAUGUUUUGACGGAUAAGUUAUCAAUAUAAGGCACCCAUUACGGGUUUGAAAAAACAAGAGAUUAUGAAUUAUGACAAUAAUAUGAUUGAUUUAGGUUGUUUAGUGCUGAUUAUGUUCAUAGAAAUCAUUCUUGAUGACUGCAUAUAAUAAUCUUUGUUUAGAACAGAUUUGUAUAUGAUAAGAGAUGGGUAAUUUGAAUUUCAAUACAUGUGGUAUCAGCCAUCAGGAUUUUUUAUUUUGUUUUGUUGUUAUGUUGGGUUAGUAGAUUGAAAGUGUAUGUAUGGGUGUAUCUCAAUUGAUGCUUAUUGUUGCAUUGUUUAGGUACCUGUUAUGGUGCUAGUCUGCAUAAGCAGAUUAAGAAGAUGGAAGUAAGUCAGCACAACAAGUACUUCCGCGAGUUUUGAAUGUGAGGAAGAAAGGAGAACAACCCCGAGCCUAGAAAGCAGAAUGCCUGAAUUGAUCAUAUCACAGCAAGACUUAAUAAGACACGACACAAAAAUAUUUAAUUUUGAUACUCAUUUCAUGGUUUAAUUAGUGACAUACUGUAUAAUUUUGUAAUUUUCCCUAAGGGUAACAAACUAACAAUGUACAAGUCUACAACUUAUAUUAAUAAAGUUUGGAUUUGAUUAUUAUUAUU